GACGGUGCUCGGGAGCGGGCGCUGUCCGCCUGGCUCCGGCUCCUCGCUCGCUCUCCGUCGGUAAGGCGGCACAACAAGGAGGCGAACGGGCGGGGAAAGAUGGGCGCCGGCGACUGUGACUCCGGCGCGGCGGGAGGAGUCGCCCAGACUGCGCGGCUCCGCUGCUCAGAACUGACGGCUGACGGCAGAGCGGUUGGAAAAUCUACGUGACAAAUAAUGGAAGAUCAACGUCACCCCUUGUACAUCAAAUAAGUGUGUUCUGCAAGAAUCACUUGACCGUGUGUGACGUUUAGACAUUGUGAGCACCGGAUCGGAUGCGUUAAACUGGAGACGGGCAAGGAGUAGAGUUGGAAGGACAGUCAAAAUCAGGUUUAAUAGCCCAUAUGUUCGUGGCAGCAAAGUGUUCAUGGGUUCAUUGUCUGUUCUGAUAGUGGAGGUGUAUAAGCUAUUCCUAAAACAUUGAGUGUUCCUCUUAAUGGGCUGCCUGAUGGUAGCAAUGAGAAGAGAGUGUUGACUAGGUGAUGGGGCCCUUAAUGAUGGAUGCUGUCUUACUGAGCCAUUCACACACAAAAUGCUGGUGGAACACAGCAGGCCAGGCAGCAUCUAUAGGGAGAAGUGCUGUUAACUUUUCGGGCCGAGACCCUUUGUCAGGGCUUCCUAUAGAUGCUGCCUGGUCUGCUGCAUUCCACCAGCAUUUUGUGUGUGUUGCUUGAAUUUCCAGCAUCUGCAGAUUUCCUGGUGUUUACUGAGCUAUCGCCUUUUGAUGACGUUCUGGAUCCUGGGGAGCUGGUGCCCAUGAUGGAAACGUUGCACCUCCUGUGAUUACACUGCGAGAGCAAAUGGGUACUGGUAGAGACGGAGGAAUGGGUACUGGUAGAGACGGAGGAAUGGGUACUGGUAGAGACGGAGGAAUGGGUACUGGUAGAGACGGAGGAAUGGGUACUGGUAGAGACGGAGGAAUGGGUACUGGUAGAGGCGGAGGAAUGGGUACUGGUAGAGGCGGAGGAAUGGGUACUGGUAGAGGCGGAGGAAUGGGUACUGGUAGAGGCGGAGGAAUGGGUACUGGUAGAGGCGGAGGAAUGGGUACUGGUAGAGGCGGAGGAAUGGGUACUGGUAGAGGCGGAGGAAUGGGUACUGGUAGAGGCGGAGGAAUGGGUACUGGUAGAGGCGGAGGAAUGGGUACUGGUAGAGGCGGAGGAAUGGGUACUGGUAGAGACGGAGGAAUGAAUCAGGCUGUUGUGGAAGGAGCUGCACCUUCAAGAGAAAGAGAGGACUGGAAUGCCAUCAUGUUGCAACAGUGGAAAUUACCACAAUGAUCCACAAUAAACGCAGAAGGGAGGGCAAGCAUUUGUGAAUCCUUUCUUUGUCUUGAAGCAGGUGUGCAAAAUGAAGUAGUUAUGGUACGUCACAUCCAAUCUUAAUGUUCUACGAUAUUCUCGUGACUAGCAUCAAAUCACUCUGUCUCAGUGUUGUCCUGGUCCAUGUUUCCACAUCUUCCUUAACCUUUUCCUGAGCUUUAACAAACAACUUUUCUUCUUUCUCCAACUUCCAGUGAUUUUUUUCCUUUUCCCUAUUCUCUACUCUUCAUUAUCUCACCCUGGCCUCUUGCAUCUUCUCCUCACCUGCCCUAUCACCUCCAUUUAGUGCCCCUCUUCCUUUUUCUCCCAUGAUCCACUCUCCUCUCUUAUCAGAUUCCCUCUCCUCGGGUCCUCUGCCUUUUCAACAUCACCUCCCAGCUUCUUUCUUCAUUUCUCCCCGUCUCCCAUCUACCUGGCUUCACCUGUCAUCUUUUAGCUUGUCCUCAUUCCCCCCUCCCCCCCACCAACCUCCUUAUUCUGGCAUCUUCCCCCUUCCUUUCCAGCCUGAUGAAGGGACUCAGCUCAAAACGUCAACCUUUCCAUUCAAUCUAUUCAUUUCCAUAGACGCUGCCUGACCUGCUGAGUUCCUCCGGUAUCGUGUGAUCAUUGCUCUGGAUUUCCAGCAGCUGCAAAAUCUCCUGUGUUAUCAAUGAUUGUAACCUCUUUCUUCCACAUCUCAUUUGCUUCAACCUCUUGCUGAAGUCUUGCCCUGUACCAUCUAUUUCCUACCUUUUCUGAUCUUCCCCUCUGAUCCUGAUUGAUCUGUCCUCUGCUGCCACUUUGCCGUGCAUUCUGAGCUCCAGAGAGAGCAUGUCUACUGGCAUCUUUUAUAAACCUACGGACUCUCACAGCUGCCUAGACUCUUCCCACCCUGUUACUUGUAAAAAUGGCAUCCAAUUCCUCCAUCUCCACCGCAUCUGCUCUCAGGACAAAACUUUUUAUUCCAGAACAAAGGAGAUGUCAUCCUUCUUCCAAGAAAGAGGCUUCCCUUCCUCCACCAUCCGUGCUGCCCUCACUGCAUCUCUUCCAUUUCCCCCAUGUCUUCCCUCACCCCAUCCUCCUGCCACCCCACCAGCCUCCACAGCCAGCACAUGAUUCUCCGUAAUUUCCACCAUCUCCAAUGGAAUCCCACCACCAAGCACAUCUUCCCCCCCCCCCCCAACCACUUUUUGCUUUCCACAGGGAUCACUCCCUAUGCAGCUCCCUUGUCUAUUCAUCCCUCCCCACUGAUCUCCCUCCUGGUACUAUCCUUGCAAGCAGAACAAGUGCCACACCUGCCCCUACAUCUCCUCCCUCACUACCAUUCAGGGCUUUAAACACCCCUUCCAGGUGAAGUGACACUUCACCUGUGAGUCUGUUGGGGGCAUAUACUGUGUCCGUGCUCCUGGUAUGGCCUUCUGUACGAUUAGGAGAUCACUUUGCUGAGCACCUAUGCUUUGUCUGCCAGAAGAAGUGGGAUCUCCCAUUUUAAUUCCACUUCCCAUUCCCAUUCUGACAUGUCAGUCCAUGUCCUCCACAACUGUCACAAAAAGGCCAUAAUCAGGUUGGGGGAGCAAAACCUUAUAUUCCGUCAGGAUAGCCUCCAGCUUGAUGACAUGAACAUAGAUUUCUUCCAGUAAUUGCCCCCCCUUCGCCAUUUCCCAAUCCAGUUCCCUCUCUCACUGUAUCUCCUUACCUGCCCAUCACCUCCCUCUGGUGCUUCUCCCCAUUUUCUUUCUUCUAUGGCCUCGUGUCCUGUCCUAUCAGAUUCCCCCAUCUCCAGACUUACCUCUUCCACCAAUCAACUUCCCAGCUCUUUACUCCACCCACCCCCCCGUCUCAAGGUGUCACCAAUCACCUUGUGUUUCUUCCUCCCCACUCCCCACCACCUUACUCUUUUUGUUUCUCCAGUCCUGAUGAAGGGUCUCAGCCCAAAACAUUGACUGUACUCUUUUCCAUAGAUGCAGCCUGGCCUGCUGAGUUCCUCCAGCAUUUUGUGUGUGUUGCUUGGAUUUCCAGUAACCGCAGAUUUUCUCUUAUUUCUGAGCUCUUGCACCACCUUUGUCUUUGUGCUUAUUUCCUUCACUGGGAGCUCUCACCACUGACUGUUGUCCCCUUGAUCUAUCUCCAGGAUUCCCCAAUCACCUGGACCCCUCCCUCUCCACACCUCUGCCUCUUUUUCCACAUGACUUGCUCCCUUCAGCGGCUCCCUCCUUGCAUCACUUUGCUCACAAAGGACCAACCUGAACAUUGUCAUCAAAUUUGUUUGCAAGAAUAGUGUUGUUUGGCAAACUAACCUCAAACACACAGAGACUGAUUCACACCCAUUCAAACUAUUUGCUCUUUUAUUCUCCAUUUACCUCCAGGCUUUACUAUUCAUCUACAGACCAGGGGCAAUUUACAGCAGCUCCUCAAUCUUCCAACCCUCACAGGAAGCACUGGAGGUCCGGAUUGAGCCUGGAAUUGAGGCAGUUUCUCAGUAAACUGAGUUAAUUUUGCCCAGAGGCAGCACCAAUGAACAUCAGGAUACAGGGAGCCCGGGAGGCCUGCCCUGCCUCACAGCAAAGCAGCCACCUCAAUCCCACUACCACUUCCCUUAUUUUUUUGUAUGUUAGUCUCACUCACAUGCCAUCAACUCCCCACCGAUUCUUUUCUCACUUCUCAACAUUAGUGGCCAUUUACAGUGGCUAAUUAACCUUACAAAAUGUCUGUAGGAUUGACCUUGUGAUCACAGAAAGACCUCCAUGUGCUUAGUAUCUGAGCCCUGGCCCAAGGGCCGUAAGGCAGCAGCGCUAACGGUUGCAUCACUGUGCCGGCAGAGUCUAUCCUCUGAUCGUUAUAUUUUUAUUCACUCAGAGAUAAUGGGGUCCUAAUCUCACACACGUGGCUUCUCCCUCCUCUCCAGUCCACAAGCAGGGUGGGGCAGGCCCACUUUUUCAGCUAGUUCUUGUUCCAAAUCGGAAACAAUGCGUAGAUUGGUAGGUUAGUUGGCCACUGUUAAUUCCCCCAGGAAUGUUGAAGAGAGGUGGAAGCUGGGUGGAGUUGGUGGGAAUGUAGGGAGAAUAAAAUGGGAUGAGUGUAUGGGGAG